UAGCCAAGUUGGUGCUGUGGAAGGCC
rnacentral:piRNA from 1 species